GCCAGCAGCUUGCUCUCUGCAACUCUCACAUGGUCGCCUAUCGGAGCAGAGCUGCGCCCAGUUAGUACCAUCAUGGGAGACCAUAUUGGAAAGCUAGGUUGCUGUUGGAA
rnacentral:rRNA from 1 species